rnacentral:sRNA from 1 species
UUGAUUCUGGUGUCUGAAUGUAAAGCCCUAUAUCUAUCCACAGAACAGGUACUGGCAUGGGCAGCAUCUGUGUAAUCAUCCCCCAUGCUGUCCCACCAACAUGCAUUAUCCUCUACCUGGGCAGGGUCACUUCAAGGGCUGGGAGAAGCAUUCAGUCUCCAUGGCUCAUUCUUUGCUGCAAUU